rnacentral:rRNA from 1 species
AGAGCGAACGCUGGCGGCAGGCUUAACACAUGCAAGUCGAGCGGGCGUAGCAAUACGUCAGCGGCAGACGGGUGAGUAACGCGUGGGAACGUACCUUUUGGUUCGGAACAACACAGGGAAACUUGUGCUAAUACCGGAUAAGCCCUUACGGGGAAAGAUUUAUCGCCAAAAAGAUCGGCCCGCGUCUGAUUAGCUAGUUGGUGAGGUAACGGCUCACCAAGGCGACGAUCGGUAGCUGGUCUGAGAGGACGAUCAGCCACACUGGGAUUGAGAACGGCCCAGACUCCUACGGGGGGCAGCAGUGAGGAAUUUUCGUCAAUGGGGGCAACCCUGAACGAGCAACGCCGCGUGCAGGAAGAAGGUUUUCGGAUCGUAAACUGCUUUUCUCGGGGAAGAGAACGGACGGUACCCGAGGAAGAAGCCCCGGCUAACUACGUGCCAGCAGCCGC